rnacentral:rRNA from 1 species
GGGGAAUAUUGGACAAUGGGGGCAACCCUGAUCCAGCAAUGCCGCGCGAGUGAUGAAGGCCUUCGGGUCGUAAAGCUCUUUUACCAGGGAUGAUAAUGACAGUACCUGGAGAAUAAGCUCCGGCUAACUCCGUGCCAGCAGCCGCGGUAACACGGGGGGAGCAAGCGUUGUUCGGAAUCACUGGGCGUAAAGGGCGUGUAGGCGGUCAGGUAAGUGGGAUGUGAAAUGCCCCGGCUCACCCGGGGACCUGCAUCCCAAACUGCUUGGCUUGAGUAUGGGAGAGGAUGAGGGAAUUCCUGGUGUAGCGGUGAAAUGCGUAGAUAUCAGGAGGAACACCGGUGGCGAAGGCGGGUCUCUGGGCAACAACUGACGCUGAGGAGCGAAAGCGUGGGGAGCGAAC